UACGUAGGGGGGCUAGCGUUGUCCGGAAUCAUUGGGCGUAAAGCGCGUGUAGGCGGCCGGUAAGUCCGCUGUGAAAGUCGGGGGCUCAACCCUCGGAUGCCGGUGGAUACUGUUGGGCUUGAGUACGGAAGAGGCGAGUGGAAUUCCUGGUGUAGCGGUGAAAUGCGCAGAUAUCAGGAGGAACACCAAUUGCGAAGGCAGCUCGCUGGGACGUUACUGACGCUGAGACGCGAAAGCGUGGGGGAGCAAACAGG
rnacentral:rRNA from 1 species